GAUGAACGCUGGCGGCGUGCCUAAUACAUGCAAGUCGAGCGAACAGACGAGGAGCUUGCUCCUCUGACGUUAGCGGCGGACGGGUGAGUAACACGUGGAUAACCUACCUAUAAGACUGGGAUAACUUCGGGAAACCGGAGCUAAUACCGGAUAACAUGUUGAACCGCAUGGUUCAACAGUGAAAGACGGUCUUGCUGUCACUUAUAGAUGGAUCCGCGCCGCAUUAGCUAGUUGGUAAGGUAACGGCUUACCAAGGCAACGAUGCGUAGCCGACCUGAGAGGGUGAUCGGCCACACUGGAACUGAGACACGGUCCAGACUCCUACGGGAGGCAGCAGUAGGGAAUCUUCCGCAAUGGGCGAAAGCCUGACGGAGCAACGCCGCGUGAGUGAAGAAGGUCUUCGGAUCGUAAAACUCUGUUAUUAGGGAAGAACAAAUGUGUAAGUAACUAUGCACGUCUUGACGGUACCUAAUCGGAAAGCCACGGCUAACUACGUG
rnacentral:rRNA from 1 species